rnacentral:rRNA from 1 species
CAGGUGCUGCAUGGCUGUCGUCAGCUCGUGCCGUGAGGUGUAUGGUUAAGUCCCACAACGAGCGCAACCCUCGUCGCUAGUUAAUUCCCUAGCGAGACCGCCUCGCAAAACGAGGAGGAAGGCGGGGAUGGCGUCAAGUCAGCAUGGCCUUUAUACCCUGGGCGACACACACGCUACAAUGGGUGGUACAGUAGGUAGCGAAGGAGCGAUCCGGAGCAAAUCCUUAAAACCAUCCUCAGUACGGAUUGCAGGCUGAAACCCGCCUGCAUGAAGCCGGAGUUGCUAGUAACCGCAUAUCAGCAUGGUGCGGUGAAUACGUUCUCGGGCCUU